rnacentral:misc_RNA from 1 species
AGAAGAAGUCCCAUGCUUGAGAUAUAAACUCGUUAUUAAAUAGUCGUACAUAUACCGGGAGAUUUGCUGACUGCAGCUUCUGCACAAUAUUCGUUUGACCAAUGAUAAAAGCGUCUUCACUGGGGAAGACUGAUUUCUUGGUUAUGACAACAGAUUUUGCAAAGGUCUUGAUCUCCAAUAUAGUUGAGUUCUUAAUAUCACUGAUAUUAUCGUCAACCAAAUAAACAAGUUCAUAACUACUCUUCUUGAAUUCUUCCAGAACAGAACUGUCAUUUGAUUGGAUCAUAACUUUCCUAGCUGUCUGAUUAUUGUAACCAGCUGUGCUUAGGGCAUCCAAAACCGCAUCAGUUACACCUAAUCCCUGCUUUGCCAGGUAUGCAGCAUUCUCUAUGCUGAUCAUUAUACCAGAAACAUUAGCAGUUUUGGAAAAUGUCAAGAAGUCUGCUAACGACAUAAACUUUCCAACAUUUCUGGCCUUUGGAUUCCGUGACAAUCUAAAGUCUGAAUACCGGGUUGAUAUUACCGGUUUCAGCGUUUGAAUAUCGCUCCAGUUUAGGUUGAUGGUGAGUAUUCCAUCUGUUAUCUGAAGCUCUGGAGCAGUGGUAGCGAUGUCGCUGAAUGGCGAUUGGGCCGCAGUCGUCGUGUCUAUCAGAUUUAUCGAACUAAGGCAGAAGGGUAUUCCAUCUUUUGUCAUUUGGACAGGACAGCCAAUAAUAUCUGCACCAUCGGAAGCAGCUUUUGUAUAUGCUAAAUCUGUACAACCAGGAUAGUCACCACUUGCUCCUUGAGGUGCGAUAAUCUGAAGAGUUACUUGAGGCUUAUCAUUCGCACCCAAAUGCGAGAAGCAAUCUACUGACGCAGAUGGAGACAUUGGGAAGUCAGAUAACACUCCGUCCACCGAGAACUCACCGUUGUCUAUAAAGGAUAAAUACUCAGCUACAGGAUCAUAGCUAUAAUUAUAAGCAAAUGGUACAUCAUUAACAAAGUCGGCUGCAUAAAUCUCAAGUCCUUCCUUAUGAGCGUCCGAAACAACCGAUGUAUGUGGCUGCAAGUACAAGCUGCUGUCCGUUGGCCAGAUAUAGUGUUUGGGAACAAGAAUCCCAGCGGCAAAGGUUUUAACAAAUGUGAGAUUCUUCACUAGAGAACCAUAUGUUUGACUUGUUGAUGGCUCAAUAUCAUCUUCGUUGAGAAACCGGAAAACGCGCUUUGUCACUCGUGGAUUCAAUCGCGAUGCGAUACUUCGCAGGAAAUUCACCUCAGGUGAUGAAAUAUAGUUGGCAAUAACACUUCUAGAUAGGGAAACAACAAAGCUUCUCAUACUCAGAUUGUGCUGGCUGUAGAAGGAAUCAUGCUGGAUAUUCAACCAUAAUCCUGGAGGUUUGACUUGGGUAGCUACAUCCUGGACAGUAAGAAUUUGCUGGGGAGUGCCAUCAAAUCUAGGCGACCGCGAAUACACUCCUUGUUUCAAGCUGACAGGUGCCAAAUCCUUGAUGCUGAAAUCUAUAGAAAACCAUCCUGUCUGAGGAAUUCCAUUCACCGAGUAGUUGUUAUUCCUGUUUGGGUAGAGAGUAUCGAUGUCAGAAGCAUUGUUAAGCUUGAUAUCAGGAAAACAAAUGCCAACCCCGUCUUUUGUGAGUUGAACAUCACACCAAGCAACCCAAUCAGCCGAGCUAAUUGCUUGUGCCAACAUGUAGGCAUUAAAGCUUGAAUCAGGAAGUAACCCAGAAAAUCCUCCACGAGCUAUGACUUUUGGUGCAUCUCCGCUCAGUGUUUUCCAUUUAGAGGUUACAUUGUUAGAUCUUUGAGCAGCAACAAAUGCAACUGAGCAACAAAGUACCAGGAGACAUAAAACAGAACGCAUUUUCCUCAUUUCCGGCGAGCUCAGCCGGAGAAUCGUUUUCCGGCGUAAAUUUUUUUCCGUUAGUGACGGAGGUGGAGGAGAAUAUGGAGAGAUUCAGCUGAUUUGUGUGAAGAAAAAGUGUGAUGAUUGACAAGUUGAGGAGACUUUGAGAGCAGAUAGAUAGAGAGAGAAAGUGUGUGAGUGUUUGUGCCUUGCCUUUGAGGGAUGUGGU